rnacentral:rRNA from 1 species
AACUUUGAGCGAUGGAUCACUCGGCUCGUGCGUCGAUGAAGAUUACAGCCAACUGUGCGGAUUAAUAUGAACCGCAUACUACUACAUCGACAUCUUGAAUGUAUAUUGUGGCUACGAGAUAUCCUGUGGCCACGCCUGUCCGAGGGUCA